rnacentral:tRNA from 1 species
GCGGGCGUGGCGAAACGGUAGACGCGCCGGCCUUAGGAGCCGGUGGGCGAAAGCCCGUGGGGGUUCAAGUCCCUCCGCCCGCA